rnacentral:rRNA from 1 species
AUUGAACGCUGGCGGCAUGCCUUACACAUGCAAGUCGAGCGGCAGCGCGGGGGCAACCCUGGCGGCGAGCGGCGAACGGGUGAGUAAUACAUCGGAACGUGUCCUGUCGUGGGGGAUAGCCAGUCGAAAGAUUGGCUAAUACCGCAUGACCUCGUAAGAGAAAAGCGGGGGAUCGCAAGACCUCGCGCGAUUGGAGCGGCCGAUGUCGGAUUAGCUAGUUGGCGGGGUAAAAGCCCACCAAGGCGACGAUCAGUAGCUGAUGUGAGAGCAUGAUCAGCCACACGGGAACUGAGAAACGGGCCCGACUCCUACGGGAGGCAGCAGUAAGGAAUAUUGGACAAUGGACGCAAGUCUGAUCCAGCCAUGCCGCGUGAAGGAUUAAGGUCCUCUGGAUUGUAAACUUCUUUUAUAAGGGACGAAAAAAGGUCUUUCUAGAUCGUCUGACGGUACCUUAUGAAUAAGCACCGGCUAACUCCGUGCCAGCAGCCGCCGUAA